rnacentral:tRNA from 1 species
GGCCCGUUCGUCUAGUGGUUAGGACUCCAGGUUUUCAUCCUGGCAACAGGGGUUCGAUUCCCCUACGGGCUACCA